UUUGAUGGCGACCGGCGCACGGGUGAGUAACACGUAUCCAACCUGCCGAUGACUCGGGGAUAGCCUUUCGAAAGAAAGAUUAAUACCCGAUGGCAUAGUUCUUCCGCAUGGUGGAACUAUUAAAGAAUUUCGGUCAUCGAUGGGGAUGCGUUCCAUUAGGUUGUUGGCGGGGUAACGGCCCACCAAGCCUUCGAUGGAUAGGGGUUCUGAGAGGAAGGUCCCCCACAUUGGAACUGAGACACGGUCCAAACUCCUACGGGAGGCCAGCAUG
rnacentral:rRNA from 1 species